rnacentral:rRNA from 1 species
GACGAAGGAUGCAAGCGUUAUCCGGAUUCAUUGGGUUUAAAGGGAGCGUAGGCGGACUUAUAAGUCAGUGGUGAAAUCUCCUUGCUUAACAAGGAAACUGCCAUUGAUACUGUAGGUCUUGAGUACAGUUGCCGUUGGCGGAAUAUGACAUGUAGUGGUGAAAUACUUAGAUAUGUCAUAGAACACCGAUUGCGAAGGCAGCUAACGAAGCUGUAACUGACGCUGAGGCUCGAAAGUGCGGGGAUCAAAC